UUACAUGUCAAUUUCAAGAAGUGAGGUAGAUUAAAUAAUUAUUAAAUCACGUUACGCACAGUUGAAUUUUAUUUUGUUUGAAAUAGUAUUAUUUAUGUUAAUUGCCAUAAUAUAUUUGAAUGGUUGCGUGAUAUGCUAGCUAAUCCUGAAAAUGUGUUUGGAGAGGAGACCGGCGGUAACAAUUGAGGAUAGAAGAAUAUAAUAAUAGACUUUCAUUUCUAAAUGUAUAUUGGAAAUUUUCCUGUUUUAUUUCAAUGAAGAUCGACGAUGAGGCCUUUAUCGAGUAUCAACAGUGUUUUCUCUAAUAGUAUAAAAUUAAUACCAAUAAACCGUUUUAUAUCUUAAAAA